UACGUAGGGAGCAAGCGUUGUCCGGAAUCAUUGGGCGUAAAGCGCGCGUAGGCGGUUCGCUAAGUUGGAUGUGAAAACUCUGGGCUCAACCCAGAGCCUGCAUCCAAAACUGGCGGGCUAGAGUUCUGGAGGGGGUAGCGGAAUUCCUGGUGUAGCGGUGAAAUGCGUAGAUAUCAGGAGGAACACCGGUGGCGAAGGCGGCUACCUGGACAGAAACUGACGCUGAGGCGCGAAAGCUAGGGGAGCAAACAGG
rnacentral:rRNA from 1 species